CUACGGGGUGCUGCAGUGAGGAAUAUUGCACAAUGGGGGGAACCCUGAUGCAGCAACGCCGCGUGGAGGAUGACGCAUUUCGGUGUGUAAACUCCUUUUAUAUGUCAAGAAAAUGACGGUAGCAUAUGAAUAAGCACCGGCUAACUCCGUGCCAGCAGCCGCGGUAAUACGGAGGGUGCAAGCGUUACUCGGAAUCACUGGGCGUAAAGGACGCGUAGGCGGGUUGGAAAGUCAGGUGGGAAAUCCUACAGCUUAACUGUAGAACUGCACUUGAAACUUCUAAUCUAGAGUAUGGGAGGGGGAGAUGGAAUUAGUGGUGUAGGGGUAAAAUCCGUAGAUAUCACUAGGAAUACCUAAAGCGAAGGCGAUCUCCUGGAACAUUACUGACGCUAAGGCGCGAAAGCGUGGGGAGCAAACAGGAUUAGAUACCCCAGUAGUC
rnacentral:rRNA from 1 species